rnacentral:rRNA from 1 species
GAUCCUGGCUCAGGAUGAACGCUGGCGGCAUGCCUAAUACAUGCAAGUCGAACGAGAGGAAGGAAAGCUUGCUUUUCUGAAUCUAGUGGCGAACGGGUGAGUAACACGUAGGUAACCUGCCCAUGUGCUCGGGAUAACUUCUGGAAACGGAUGCUAAAAACCGGAUAGGUAGCAGACAAGCAUUUGACUGCUACUAAAGUGGCUUUGGCCAUGAACAUGGAUGGACCUGCGGUG